GAUAUAUCGUAGUAUGGUGAUGAAGAGGGGGUUGAUGAGAUAGAUGAGAGGGAUUCACUCAGAGGUGAAAUUUCAGAAGUGAGGAGUGUUGUGGUGGUGAGGUUGAUUUGUCGUGGAGGGGGUGAAGAAGGGUUAGAGUUGUGAUGUUCAAAGGUAGGUGGAUAUGAUAUGGUAGGUUCAGAGGGGGUAAAUAUGGGAAAAGGUUAAGGUAAGGAGGAAGAUAAUUGUUUUAAAUUUGAAUGAUAGGGAGUUU
rnacentral:lncRNA from 1 species